UUGUGACUAUAUAAUUAGCCAGGUGAGUUUUCGUGGAGGUUCGCAAUGGGUAGAGUGUCUUCAUCUAGAUCAUAUAACUCUGUCCAUAUAUCAAUGAGGUUAGCCACAUGGAUUCUUUGAUUUUCAAGAAAUGAAUCAAGGUCUAUGAAACAUUUCCUAAUGCUGGGUCUUUUUUACCCAAUGCAUCUAAGUUACUUUGGAAGCAACCAAGGAAAUCGGUUUCGGAAUCAAGAAGAGAAGAAUCUUCACACCAAACCCUUAGUCUUCUAGUCCAAGUCUCUAUGGAUUGUCCACAAAGUGAUCUUCCGAUGGCUGAAAUGGCAAGUGGAAAUCCCUUACAGUGUUCUACUAUCUGCAGUUCAAUUGUCCCAAUGAAAGUCAAUUACUUUUGAAUUGAGACUCAAAUUCUAGAUUCUCUAAAUGUUCUGAAUGGUUUGAUGAAAGAGAGAAAACGAAUGCAAGCAUAUACAAAUAUAUGAAUGAGGAUAUGCCAUGCAUUGAAUUUAAUAAAUCACAUGUUUGGCAAGGGGUUGUGGAACAUAAGAGCUAUUAUCUUCGAGUGAAGUAGAAUGAUAAAAUAGGGUCAUUGCAUCUUCAUCAUUCAACGGUUUAAACAAUAUGUGUUCAUGCUCUUUUUCAGAAAGGGCUAACUUAGAGAGAUGUGGUGUGUCUUCAACAGGGGAGAAUGUGAGGACCUUCGGUAAUGGAUGAACCUGCAGAAGACAAAGUGGGAGAAGCAGUCGUCAAGCUUCGGACACUGAUGUGGUGCCAGCCGAAGGCUCUCCGAUGAUUAAGUUAGCUAUAAGUGGUAACUUUGGUACUGUUCCCUAUUUAUAGGAGAGUCAAAAUGGGAGCUUUGCACAAAGUUUCAAUGUGAGACUUUGUGCAAGUUGCUUUGGUGGUGACAUGUGUCCUUAGAGAUUAGGUUCGGCAGGUGGUCGCCACUUCAGAAGAGUGUCUUCCUUUGCCAUGGAGGAAGGCAUGUCUACCUUGGUGUUAGUCGUUUUUGAUGCUAGACAUGCUUGGUUGAUUGUGGUGUAAACAGUAGUCCCCAAGUUGUCAAUCAAGAAGUGGCUUCUGGUUUGGGAAUUUGUAAGAAAGUUGCAUAAUUAAAUCGAGCGUGUCGGCAUGACGGGUGCCCUAGGCAGUCCCGUAGUCCCCUAAGUUCAUAAGUUAGAAGGCACGCCCCCCAUUUCUUUUUUUUUGGGGCUUCGGCAUGUUGUGUGUCGAAGGGAAGUUAGCCUUCCGAAGGAAAAAUGAAGGUCAUUACUACAUUGUGACUAUAUAAUUGGCUAGGUGAGUUUUGGUGGAGGGUCGUAAUGGGUAGAGUGUCUUCAUCUAGAUCAUAUAACUCUGUCCAUAUAUCGAUAAGGUUAGCCACAUGGAUUCUUUGAUUUUCAGGAAAUGAACCAAGGUCUAUGGAACAUUCCCUAAUGCUGGGUCUUUUUUACCCAACGCAUCUAAGUUGCUUUGGAAGCAACCAAGGAAAUCGGUUUCGGAAUCAAGAAGAGAAGAAUCUUCACACCAAACCCUUAGUCUUCUAGUCCAAGUCUCUAUGGAUUGUCCACAAAGUGAUCUUCCGAUGGCUG
rnacentral:lncRNA from 1 species